UUUAAAGAGAGUUUGAUCCUGGCUCAGGACGAACGCUGGCGGCGUGCCUAAUACAUGCAAGUCGAACGAACGGAGGAAGAGCUUGCUCUUCCAAAGUUAGUGGCGGACGGGUGAGUAACACGUGGGCAACCUGCCUGUAAGUUGGGGAUAACUCCGGGAAACCGGGGCUAAUACCGAAUGAUAAAGUGUGGCGCAUGCCACGCUUUUGAAAGAUGGUUUCGGCUAUCGCUUACAGAUGGGCC
rnacentral:rRNA from 1 species